UACGGAGGGUGCGAGCGUUAUCCGGAAUCACUGGGUUUAAAGGGUGCGUAGGCGGCCUUUCAAGUCAGUCGUGAAAUCGCUGGGCUCAACCCAUGCAAUUGCGAUUGAUACUGUUGGGCUUGAUUGGGGUUCAGGCAGGCGGAAUGUGGCAUGUAGCGGUGAAAUGCUUAGAUAUGCCAUAGAACACCGAUUGCGAAGGCAACUUGCUGGGCCCGUAUUGACGCUGAGGCACGAAAGCGUGGGGAGCAAACAGGAUUAGAUACCCUGGUAGUCCACGCCCUAAACGAUGUUUACUUGCUGUUUGGGCUAUAUGCUUGAGUGGCGAAGCGAAAGCGAUAAGUAAACCACCUGGGGAGUACGCCGGCAACGGUGAA
rnacentral:rRNA from 1 species